rnacentral:rRNA from 1 species
ACAGAGGGUGCAAGCGUUGUCCGGAAUUACUGGGCGUAAAGGGCGCGUAGGCGGUCCAAUAAGUAGGGGGUGAAAUCUCACGGCUCAACCGGGAGGCUGCCUUCUAGACUGUUGGACUUGAGCACGGUAGAGGCAGAUGGAAUUCCCGGUGUAGCGGUGGAAUGCGUAGAGAUCGGGAAGAACACCAGUGGCGAAGGCGAUCUGCUGGGCCGUUGCUGACGCUGAGGCGCGACAGCGUGGGGAGCAAACAGGAUUAGAUACCCUGGUAGUCCACGCCGUAAACGAUGGGCACUAGGCGUCGGGGGGAGCGACCCUCCCGGUGCCGUCGCUAACGCUGUAAGUGCCCCGCCUGGGGAGUACGGCCGCAAGGCUG